rnacentral:rRNA from 1 species
UACGGAGGGAGCUAGCGUUGUUCGGAAUUACUGGGCGUAAAGCGCGCGUAGGCGGCUUUGUAAGUUAGAGGUGAAAGCCCGGGGCUCAACCCCGGAAUUGCCUUUAAGACUGCAUCGCUUGAAUCCGGGAGAGGUGAGUGGAAUUCCGAGUGUAGAGGUGAAAUUCGUAGAUAUUCGGAAGAACACCAGUGGCGAAGGCGGCUCACUGGCCCGAUACUGACGCUGAGGUGCGAAAGCGUGGGGAGCAAACAGG